rnacentral:rRNA from 1 species
UACGAAGGGGGCUAGCGUUGCUCGGAAUCACUGGGCGUAAAGGGCGCGUAGGCGGCCAUUCAAGUCGGAGGUGAAAGCCCAGGGCUCAACCCUGGAAUUGCCUUCGAUACUGUCUGGCUAGAGACCGGAAGAGGUAAGUGGAACUGCGAGUGUAGAGGUGAAAUUCGUAGAUAUCAGGAGGAACACCAGUGGCGAAGGCGGCUUUCUGGACGGUAACUGACGCUGAGGCGCGAAAGCUAGGGGAGCAAACGGG